AGAGUUUGAUCCUGGCUCAGGACGAACGCUGGCGGCGUGCUUAAUACAUGCAAGUCGAACGGGGUCCAACCGGUGGCAACACCGGUGAAGACCUAGUGGCGAACGGGUGAGUAGCACGUGAGCAACCUGCCCCGAAGACUGGGAUAACACCGGGAAACCGGUGCUAAUACCGGAUGUCCCCAUCAGACCGCAUGAUCUGAUGAGGAAAGGAUUUCUGCUUCGGGAGGGGCUCGCGGCCUAUCAGCUUGAUGGUGAGGUAAUGGCUCACCAUGGCGACGACGGGUAGCUGGUCUGAGAGGACGAUCAGCCACACUGGGACUGAGACACGGCCCAGACUCCUACGGGAGGCAGCAGUAGGGAAUCUUGCGCAAUGGGCGAAAGCCUGACGCAGCAACGCCGCGUGAGGGACGAAGGCUUUCUGAGUUGUAAACCUCUUUCAGCAGGGACGAUUGUGACGGUACCUGCAGAAGAAGCACCGGCCAACUACGUGCCAGCAGCCGCGGUGAUACGUAGGGUGCGAGCGUUGUCCGGAUUUAUUGGGCGUAAAGAGCUCGUAGGCGGUUCGAUAAGUCGGGUGUGAAAUCUCCAGGCUCAACCUGGAGUCGCCACUCGAUACUGUCGUGACUNNNNNCCGGUAGGGGACCAUGGAAUUCCUGGUGUAGCGGUGAAAUGCGCAGAUAUCAGGAGGAACACCAGUAGCGAAGGCGGUGGUCUGGGCCGGCACUGACGCUGAGGAGCGAAAGCGUGGGGAGCGAACAGGAUUAGAUACCCCCGUAGUCC
rnacentral:rRNA from 1 species